ensembl:lncRNA
GAAAUUAAAUAUUAAUGUGUGAAAGUCUCACUAAUGACACUGAUUUACGACGUGGAUGGAUAAGAGCGCUCUCGUCCCGGUUGCGGGGACUCUUAUUUUGACGGAACGCAGCUCAUACGGUGGGGUGCUUCAGAGUGCGCGCGCGCCGCGAUCCAGUCUUGCAUCAGCCGUCAUCUUCAGAGAGAACGAGCUGUGAAAUUCCCUGACUAAAUUCAGUUUGAUCUUCGUUAUGUUCCUAUGAGUGUUUAAAGUUGUGUGCGUCCAGAGAGAAAGUGAGUACUAUAGAUUCCACUGUCACUCAAGCCGAGUUGAUUGCUGUUUGCUGAGAUAGAGAUGUGGAGAGAGUUAUGACACAAAGUGGAUGCUAAUGUGAAGUAUAGAAGUAUUUGAGUUUCAUCCAGUACAGUGUAAUUAUGUAUAAUUAUUAUACAUGUAAGCUGUGGAUUAUGUUUCAUGUUCUGCUGUAUUCAACGGCAACAUUGUGUUGAUGUUUGGGGAAGCCAAUAGUUUUAAUGCCAUUUAUGUUGUUAUGAGUGUGAUUGUGAUAAGAACACAGACACGUCUCAUCUUGUACAAGUUUGUUACAGCAUAUGCAUGAUCUAGAGGGGUGGAGCUCUCACCAUGAGGGAGCGGCUAUGAUGAUGCCCGCUGAAAGAACACAUGUCACAAGGUCCCCUCGUCAGGUUCAGUGGGAGUCUGAUAUUAGUGAGCAUGAUGAAGACUACUCUCCCAGCUAUGAUACACGUUCAACUGGCCGACGUGCAGAGUGGACAGACACUCCGACACCCUUUGCAAGAGACGAAAAUGAGCUGUAUGAGAUGCGUAGAGAGAACACAUCAUUAUGCCGAUCAGAAGAGAAAAGGCAGAGCGGCCAUGCACAGCUUUGGAGUAUUCAGAGGGAAAUGCAUUCUCCGGUAGCCUCAGUUAGGACAGAGCAGGGGGCACGACAAGAAUCGUGGCCAGUACCACCCCCUCCUAUAAAGGAUCACUUUCCGACCCGAAGGGAAGAAGAGGAGUAUGACGACUGGCUACCGCCUCCACCAUGGCCCUCUGCUGAACCACCAUCAAUGCCUCCAGAGGGUGAGGAGACCCAGAUGGUCACAAUGAUAGAUAGAAUGAUGAAGGAACUCCAGCUAAUCAGAGAUAGUGCUGUAUCUAACUCAGCAACUAGAAGUAAUCUGUCUUCAACCCCUAAGAGACCACCAGCUAGGAAGUUUCAUGAUACUCAGCCUCUGACUCACGGGUCGCAUUUUUACUCACCAGGCAUCAGCUCUCCUCCUGUUAUGGACUCGGCUAAAUCUGGGCCUUUACCUAAACACAUACCAGGACCUCACAUGACUCAUCGUACCCCCUCUCAAGACAUACCAUACCAGCCUUUAUCAGCUAUGGUGAAGGAAAAAGAAUACCAUGGGCCAACGCCGAAAAUUCCCCUCUUCAUCCAUAGGGACCCCAUGGAAUUCUCCCGCCUGAAGCUUGCCCUAAUGAAUCUGUUGCCAAGGGAUGCCACUGAGCUCUUCAAAUAUCAGGUUCUCGUGGACCAUCUGAGGUUGGAGGAGGCUUGCCUUAUAGCCGACUCAUACAUCAAUUCGCAUACGCCGUACUCAGACACAAUGGCCGCAUUGAAUGAGAAGUUCGGGCAGCCACAUCAAGUCGCCUUAAAGAGGAUUGCUGCUGUCAUGGACUCACCAGAGAUAAGGCGGGGUGAUACAGCAGCCUUUGAGAAGUUUGCUUUGCAUGUUCAGUCGUUAGUGGGCAUGUUAAAGACCCUGGGCUCUGAUGGAGAAGUUGAGCUGAGAUGCGGCUCACACGUUGCACGGCUGCUCACGAAACUUCCGCCUGAGUUGAGGGCAAAUUUCAGACGUCAGAUGUUCCAUCGACCUGGCUCUACUCAUAACCUGCUUGACUUAGCAGAGUGGCUCCAGUAUGAGUCGUGGUGUCAAAGUUAUGACACCCUAUCUGACACCCGAGUCCAAGGGUCACUGAGCCACAAAGCUGAGAAGCGACACAGUAGAUCAGCGGCUACCGUGCUACAUGGGGCAGAGAGCUCUGGAGGUAGUAAGGCCACAAAGCAAGAUGGUCAGAGUUCCUCAGAUUUCAAAAGGAGAGGCAAGAUAAAGCCGUACUGCCCAUAUUGUGAGAGUUCAGAACAUUUUCUGAAUAAGUGCCCAGCCAUUCAGAAGUUCACAAGGGAGGAAGUCAUAGAGUGGAUCAAGGUAAAUAAAAGAUGCUGGAGAUGUGGGAGGGCCCACCUAGCUGCACAGUGCGACCUCAAAAGACUCUGUGACCUGUGCCAAGGAAAGCACUUGAGAGUUCUCCACAGUGUGAACACCCGUCCCACUGCAGAGCCACCCAAAGUAGAGAGUUGUCUAGUGAACAACGGUACCGAGGUUCUUUACCUGGAUCGGCCAUCAACUUCCACUCGUGUCCUAUUAAAGGUUGUGAGAGUGCUUCUUCGGAACAAGGACCGAACUCUUGACACCUACGCGGUAUUGGAUGAUGGAUCGGAACGCACAAUGCUCCUUCCAGAAGCUGUUGACCGACUUGGUUUGCAAGGUAGACAAGAGGAUCUUGUCCUUCGCACAAUACGACAGGAUGUCCAAACCUUGAAGGGAUCAUCCGUCUCAUUCUGCAUAUCACCCCUUGCACAUCCCAGAAGAAGUUUUCAGGUAGCCGAGGCGUUCACUUCACAGCGCCUCAGUCUUGCUGAUCACUCAUAUCCCAUCUCCAUGUUGAAGAGGAAAUAUAAGCAUCUGGCAGACCUCCCUAUUGAACCAUUCGAGCAUGUCAAGCCACUUGUAUUGAUAGGAGCGGAUCACCCCCAUCUGCUCACUCCAGUCGAGCCAGUGAGGUUAGGCCCUCCAGGGGGACCGGCAGCUAUCCGUACAAGACUGGGUUGGACGCUUCAGGGACCGACUCACCUCAUCCAGUGGAUAGCAUACGCAGAACAGUGCCUCCUUACCAGUGUUUCACCGCAGACAACAGAGUUGAUGAGAAAUGUUGAGAAACUCUGGCAGAUGGAUGUGCUGCCUUUUCAGAGGGACAAGAUGGCAGUGAGAUCGAAGCAAGACAAGGAGGCAAUAGAGCACCUGGAGGCAAAGACAAGGAGGAUAGAAGUUGCUGGCAUCUUUCGGUAUGCUACUCCGUUGCUACGGAAACAAGAUAUGCCCCUGUUCCGCGCAUCCAAAGAGGCGGUUCUACCGAGCUUGAGGAGUACAGAGAAAAGAUUGGCUAAGGAUCCUCAACGUGCCAAAGCUUACUGUGAGGCAGUCAAUCAGCUGGUACAAUCAGGAGCUGUUAAGAAGUUGGGCCCAGAUGAGAUCUCAAUGACUGGUGAAUCAUGGUACAUACCUCAUCACCUAGUUAGCCAUAAUGGGAAGAAUCGGCUUGUUUUCAACUGUUCCUACCAGUAUCGUGGACUGAAUCUGAAUGAUGCCCUUCUUCCAGGACCGACCUUGGGCGCAUCUCUUCUUGGGGUCCUGCUGCGCUUUAGGCAACAAGCAGUAGCAAUUAGUGGAGAUAUCAGGGGUAUGUUCCACCAAGUCCAGCUUCUGCCAGAAGACCGGCCACUUCUCAGGUUUGUGUGGAGAGAUAUGAAGCGAGAGGAUCCCCCUGAUACCUUCGAAUGGCAAGUUCUGCCUUUUGGUACCACCUGCUCACCUUGUUGUGCCACCUUUGCUCUUCAACGGCAUGCUAGAGAUCACAGUGUUCCAGGGGAUGGUGUCAGAGACUCUGUAGAACACUGUUUCUACGUUGAUAAUUGCCUUCAGAGCGUGUCAACUGCAGCUGAAGCCAGAGGAUUGGUCGACAAACUCAGGGAGACUCUGGCAUCGGGUGGAUUUGAGAUCCGUCAGUGGGCAUGUAACAUCCCGAGUGCCAUCGGACAUCUGCCAAAGGAAGCAAGGUCGGACAGUAUGGAGCGCUGGCUCUCACAUGAUGACACAGGUCUGUCUGAAUCAACUCUUGGACUUAGUUGGCAUUGGGAAUCAGACAUCUUGGGGUAUAAGAGCCGCCCACUGGACUAUGGCAUACUGACUAUGCGCAAUGUGUAUAAAGUUCUAGCUCGGCAGUAUGACCCUCUGGGUUUCAUAUUACCCUACACAACCCGCGCCAAGUUGCUUGUCCAAAGAAUGUGGGAUAAGCACCGUCACUGGGACGACCCCCUCCUCCCUCAGGAGCUCCAGUUAGCUUGGAAAGAGUGGGAAGACGAACUCCAUCUGUUGCCUCGCAUAACCUUACCUCGAUCUUAUGUUCCAGCUCACGUGGGUCAAACGGUUGUCUCUAGACAGAUCCACAUAUUCAGCGAUGCGUCGGAGAAAGCCUAUGGCUCUGUUUCUUACCUGCGGACCGAGGAUGCCCAAGGCCAAGUCUACCUGUCCUUCCUGGCAGCGAGAUCAAGAGUCGCUCCCCGGCGACAACACUCCAUUCCACGUCUUGAGCUCUGCGGUGCUCUAACAGCAGCCCAACUGGCAAAGAUGUUGGAAGGGGAGCUGACCUUGAAGAUUGAUAAGACUAUACUUUGGAGUGAUUCAACUACGGUGCUUACCUGGCUGCAGUCGGAGUCGUGCCGUUUCAAGGUAUUUGUGGGCACCCGUGUAGCUGAAAUUCAGGAGCUCACGGAACCCAGUGCCUGGCGGUAUGUGGACUCCUCACUGAAUCCAGCCGAUGAUGUCACGCGGGGUAAGACUCUUGGGGAGCUCGCCGUGCCUAAUCACUGGAGUCAAGGGCCCCCUUUCCUCCUCAAGGGACCCCACGAAUGGCCAUCUCAAUUACCUAGGCUGCCUGAUUCAGAUUUGUCAGAGUACAGGAAGUCAGUUUCCUGUGGUAUUGUGACUAACGGUGACUGGCCAUGUUCUCUACAGGGUGGCCAACACACUUGGAAGGAUCUGGUUGAGGCUACGGUGCGUGAGCUUCACGGGGCGGCAGGACUGGGUAGUGAGGUUACUGCUUCAGACUAUCAUCAAGCAGAAAUGAUCAUCUACAAGAGAAUCCAGCAGGACUGCUUCCCAGAAGAACUGCUCCACCUCAAGAAGGGCAAGUCAGUACCAAAUAGUAGUCGACUACUUACCUUGUCCCCAGAGUUAGACCCUGAGGAUGCGAUCAUACGUGUUGGUGGUAGAUUGCGGCGGGCUGAAGCUCUCGAUUCUGCUUUUAAACACCCGAUCGUCUUGGAUCCCAGUCAUCCAGCCACCAAGCUCCUUAUACAGGACUAUGACACUCGUCUCUGUCACCCUGGACCUGAACGGGUUUACGCAGAAAUGCGUCGCACUUUCUGGAUACUGCGCGGGAGAGAGGCAAUUCGUCAUAUACAACAUCUCUGUAAGGAGUGUAGGAGAUGGAAGGCCAAGCCAUCGGUGCCCAAGAUGUCAGACUUACCAGUGGCCCGUCUGCGUUUAUAUAAGCCAGCCUUCUAUUCCACGGGUGUGGACUGUUUUGGGCCUUUCCAGGUGAAGUUGGGACGCCGCUCUGAGAAGAGAUGGGGCAUUAUUUACAAAUGUCUCACCACACGAGCGGUGCACCUGGACCUCUUACACAGCUUGGAUUCAGACUCGUUUCUAAUGAGCCUCAGGAGAUUCAUUGCCCGUAGAGGUACGCCAGCUGAACUCUACUCGGAUCAGGGCACAAAUUUCAAGGCAGGAGAGAAAGAGCUUCGUGAGACAUUUGAUGGUCUAUCCUCAGAGCUUCAGCAACUUCUAGCGAAGCAGAAGAUUACUUUCCACCUCAACCCCCCAGCAGCACCCCAUUUUGGUGGGGCAUGGGAGCGAGAGAUAAGAUCAGUCAAAUCUGCUUUGUAUACAGUUAUAGGAGCUCAGCCAGUCUUUGAAGAAGUACUCCGUACCGUCUUGUUGGAAGUCGAGGCGAUACUGAACACAAAGCCACUGGGAUAUACCUCAGCCAAUAUAGCAGAUCUGGAUGCAAUCACUCCGAACAUCCUCUUGAUGGGGCGGCUAGAUGGUGCUUUGCCCCAGGUGGUAUACAACAAGAGUGAAGGCUUGAGUAGGAGAAGAUGGAGGCACUGUCAGGUCUUGGCAGACCACUUCUGGUCUAGGUUUAUCAGGUACUACUUACCCACCCUGCAGCCUCGACAGAAGUGGCAUACCACCAAUGUGGAUCUUGCAGUCAACUCUGUUGUUCUGAUGAUGGACCCACAGCUUCCCAGGGCUCUUUGGCCAGUCGGCAGAGUGACUAAGGUACAUCAGAGUGUUGAUGGUUGUGUAAGGUCAGCCGAUGUCCGGAUCAAGGACAAAGUCUACACCAGACCAGUUGCCCGUCUCAUUGCCCUUCCAGCUAUCCCAGAUUCAUAAUGGAUUCCAUCGUAGUGCCUAUGGAAGCGGCUGAGCAGUGAGCCUUUCUCAGGAGCAAAUUGCAUGCAAUUUGGGGGCGGC